UACGGGGGGGGCAAGCGUUGUUCGGAAUUACUGGGCGUAAAGGGCUCGUAGGUGGCCAACUAAGUCAGACGUGAAAUCCCCAGGCUUAACCUGGGAACUGCGUCUGAUACUGGAUGGCUUGAAUUCGGGAGAGGGAUGCAGAAUUCCAGGUGUAGCGGUGAAAUGCGUAGAUAUCUGGAGGAAUACCGGUGGCGAAGGCGGCAUCCUGGACCGAGAUUGACACCGAUGAGCGAAAGCUAGGGGAGCAAACGGG
rnacentral:rRNA from 1 species